GGACGGGCCGUCGUGGUAUCAGGUUGUUGGCGGGGUAGCGGCCCACCAAGCCUCUGACGCCUACCGGGCGUGCGAGCGUGGCCCGGCACACUGGGACUGAGACACUGCCCAGACUCCUACGGGAGGCUGCAGUCGAGAAUCUUCGGCAAUGGGCGCCAGCCCGACCGAGCGACGUCGCGUGGAGGACGAAGGCCUUCGGGUUGUAAACUCCUGUCGGGGGGGAACAAGGGCCGGCGAAGAGCCGGACGUGAGUGAUCCCCGGAGGAAGCACGGGCUAAGUUCGUGCCAGCAGCCGCGGUAAGACGAACCGUGCGAACGUUAUUCGGAUUCACUGGGCUUAAAGGGCGCGUAGACGGACGACCGCGUCGAUGGCUGAAAGCCCCCGGCUUAACCGGGGAACGGGCCUCGAU
rnacentral:rRNA from 1 species